GUGUAUCAGUACAUGGCAUAUCAAUAAGCGGAGGAAAAGAAACUAACUAGGAUUCCCUUAGUAACGGCGAGUGAAGCGGGAAGAGCUCAAAUUUGAAAUCUUCAAGGUUCUACCUUGACGAAUUGUAGUUUAUAGAAGUGUUUUCUGUUAGUGGAGUGGCAAAAGUUCUUUGGAAUAGGACAUCAUAGAGGGUGAGAAUCCCGUAUUUGGUCAUUCCUCCUAGCGUUGUGAUACACUUUUCAACGAGUCGGAUUGUUUGGGAAUGCAGUCCAAAAUGGGUGGUAAAUUUCAUCUAAAGCUAAAUAUUGGCGAGAGACCGAUAGCGAACAAGUACCGUGAGGGAAAGAUGAAAAGAACUUUGAAAAGAGAGUUAAACAGUACGUGAAAUUGUCAAAAGGGAAGCGUUUGACACUAGUGUUGUUUUUCCGAAAAUCAAUUACGAAUGUUUUGUUUUUGAGGAGUUAUGACUUCAUCGGCUUGCUCCUUUCUUUACGAAACUUUCUUAAUGCACUUUUCGGUUAACAAGUCAACAUCAAUUUCUUUUGUUGUAAAAGGGUAUGAGGAAGGUGGCUUUCUUUUCGGAGAAAGUGUUUAUAGCCUUUUACCUCUGCAAUCGGAGAGAUUGAGGUCUGCAGCGUAGAUCCUUCGGGGUUAGAUACACUUGUGCUAAGCUAUAGCCUUGUAUAGACAACUUGUUGACUAUGCUCAGUCAUGUAGCUUACUCGCUUGUGCUAUUUUACCUACGCUUAGGAUGUUGAACGCGCACAGAGUCUC
rnacentral:rRNA from 1 species